UACGGAAGGCAGCGGUGGGGAAUAUUGCACAAUGGGCGCAAGCCUGAUGCAGCCAUGCCGCGUGUAUGAAGAAGGCCUUCGGGUUGUAAAGUACUUUCAGUCGUGAGGAAGGUGUUAAGGUUAAUAACCUUAGCAAUUGACGUUAGCGACAGAAGAAGCACCGGCUAACUCCGUGCCAGCAGCCGCGGUAAUACGGAGGGUGCGAGCGUUAAUCGGAAUUACUGGGCGUAAAGGGCACGCAGGCGGUUAAUUAAGUUGGAUGUGAAAUCCCCGGGCUUAACCUGGGAAUGGCAUUCAAGACUGGUUAGCUAGAGUCUUGUAGAGGGGGUUAGAAGUUCCAUGUGUAGCGGUGAAAUGCGUAGAGAUGUGGAGGAAUACCGGUGGCGAAGGCGGCCCCUGGACAAAGACUGACGCUCAUGUGCGAAAGCGUGGGGAGCAAACAGGGAUUAGAUACC
rnacentral:rRNA from 1 species